AAUUGAUUUGCUGGAGAUGGUCAUUUAUUUUUCUUUCUUUGCUGUCCUGUUAAACUACUAUAACAAUAUCCUUCCUUCAAUCUGCUAAAAUAGUUCCAUGCUUGAAAACGAAUUACUGUAUUAUUUAUUUCAAUUGUGUAACUGAGACAAACAUGCAUAUUAUUUUUUGGCUAACAUAGUCAAGUAUAUCCACAACACAGGAUGAGAAAGAAUGCUUCCUUCAUUGCUUGUUGAGCUAGCUAGAUAGAAGACUAGAGGAAAAGAUAGUCUGCUUCAUUAUAGCAUAUAUUACUGUUCAUACAAUGUAAGACUGAAGAGUAGCCCCUCCAAUUGAUGAAACUUCAUCGAAGUGUGAUAUGAUCCAGGAAAAGUUUUUGAUUUAGGUAUACGAGUUUUAUAAAACUAAAUUGGAAGUUUAACCUUAAUCAUGUAUCCUUUUGGUUCGUGUUUGAAUCUCAGGCUGUGUUUGCUGCUGGUUUAAUAGAAUCUCUACGCAAGUUGGUUGAAAUGGAAACAAUGGGUAUUGCUGCUGUUGCAAUUGCAAAUGCUAUUGAUGGUACUGCAGAUGAUGAACAGAUAAGAGUCCUUGGUGAAAUGCUGCAUAGAUGUUUUGUGUAAUUAUGUUGGCCCAUAUAAAAUGUGGGCUGACAUUGGUCUCAAAGGAAUAGAGAAAAUAUUGAAGUUUGGGGAAGCAAAGAAGGCAAAUAAUGGUGGCAAUAAUGUUUAUGCUCAGAAGAUCAAAGAGGAUGGAAAGUUGGAAAAUUUUAGGACACCCAUACGUAAGUCACAAGCUAAGGCAAUAAUGAUGACAUAUUGGCCAUCAGUGCAGGGGCCAUCAAUGUCCGAUGAUAGUAUGAUUCUGUUAGCACCCACACACCCUCUGAUACGUUAGAUGAGAUGUUUGCGGAUUACUCGCCUUGAUCUGUUAGAUGAGCUGUUUGGGGAUCCGUUUACAUAACUAACUCAGCUAGAUAGUCUUUAAACUAUGUGAUCAAGCAUAAUGUGUUAUAGGCUUAAGAGUUUAUUUAUUUGUAUUCCCUUAUGACUACUCUUAAAAAUGGGUGAAUAUUCGAGGCAUCUUAUCCUCUUUCCA